UUAUCCGCAGCAGAACACCUACUCCCUAAACACCACCACCACGAACCAGAGUCCACCAUGAAUUUUUUCACUUGAAAACCUAAUAGAAACCCAAUGGAAACUCGAUAAAGCUUCACAUCUCUUAAUUUUUUGCAGGGUUUUACUUUUUCAAACAACAUCAUGUAAAGUUGAUUUCUCAAUUUGGUGCGGUUAUUAGGGUUCAUCAGGUUGAUUUCUCAAUUUGGUGCGGUUAUUAGGGUUUGAUUUUACAAAGGGAAUGAAUGAUCUGCGUGCGUUCUCUAUGUGCAUAUCUAGUGCCCAAAUCUGAUAAACGUUAAGGCUGAGCUUUUUGACAAGUUCCUCGAUGUGAAAAUCCUUGCGAUUCCUCUGGAUUUGCUGUUUGAUGAGGAGGAAGAUGAAAUUGUUUUUAAAUUAUUGAGCAGUGGUUGUAGAGUGCAUCUUACUGGUUACCAUGAUGGAAACGGUAAUGGUGGAGAUCAAGAGUGAUGUAGCAGCAUCUGAAGCAAACAAGGAAAGUGAUGAUCCCAAAAUAGGGAUGAGAAGGAAGUUGAGGCCAAGAAAUACGAUGACGGAAAGGAUGAUGCAGCUUUGACUGGCAUUUGCUUGUUGAUGAGGAAUGCUGGCCGGAAUUCUCUAGGGAAAACUGAUGAUUUGAACUUUUUUUGGGUUCUUGGUUUAUUCCAUUUAAGCAGUCUCUUUUCCAAAUGAUGUAUUGAUUGUUUAACUGGUUUGUUUUACAUGCCCUCAAAAUUGAUCCAAGUGAUGUUGUUGUAUGUAUCCAGUUAGUGGGUUUAAAGCACCAAAGUGAGUUUGGCCAUCUAGAUUGUCUAGGGAAGAUUCUCAACAACGAAUUAAUGGCAGAACCUUGCUUCUCAAUUGAGCGAGUUAGUUGGCAUCGGAGAUAUAAAUGGUGAAGUUUGGCAGGUGCUCAUGGUAAGGAAGGUGGUGGUGGGCAUCAAGUGACUUCUUAACCCAUGGAAGGAAAGACCCUGCAAGUGGAGGCGGCAACAUUCAUAAAAGUAUCUUUCUUGGUUUGACGAUUUCUAGGUGCAAGAAAGGCGUUACGUCUUAUAUAGCUUGUUAAAGUAUCCGGACUAGUAAUUCAAUCUUCAGGUGGUUCAUAGACUAAAUCGGUUCUUGGCCUUCAGAAGCAACCAUUUCACACGGUAUUUCUGUGGUCAUUUUACUUUAUGUUCUUGUUGAAGAUCAUGUAUGUUAGUCAUAUAAGAUCGGUUAUACACAUAGUUCGUGUAUCUUUACCGUGCUUGUAAAUUGGUUAUAUAAGAUCACGGUUAUACACAUAGUUCGUGUAUCUUGUGGAAAAUGUAUGAAUUGUGCAUUGAUAAUGUAUGAAAUAUGAAUUACGGAUUGAAAAUGAGCA